GAAUGAACCUAACAGGUAAUGAUCAAGUGAUCUCUCUUCUGCCAUCCUUCUCCACUCUCUAACAAACAGAGGCUAGGGACACCAUCCCUGUCCAUCCUGGCUAAUAGUCAUUGAUGGA